UCAGGUGUGGAUUGUAAAAGGGUUUCAGGAGAGGGAAAUAGCUCUCUGGAUGGUCUUUUGGCUCUCUUUCCCCUCUUGUCACUUAAUCCUUCGAGAAGAGAUUGAUUUUUCUUGCUUCUAGUUUGAAUUGCUUCCUGCAUACACAAGAAACAAAAAAACCCUAAAAAGCACUUUUAUAAAAAAAAAUAAAAACAAAAACAAAUACAAACAAAAAUACAAAUCAAGUCAAAUUUAAUCAAAUUCACACUACCAGUACAGUUAAACCACGAGUCCCCGGUUGCCAACAACUUGUUUACACCCUGGCAAGUGUACCAGAUCGUAUCAACUAAUAAUAGACAGUAAGUCUAGAUAUCGUUUCCUAAGGGACUUUGUGGCCUAAACGUUCAUGUAAAUUGAUCGCAUAUGAAUUGAAAGAAUAAUAAUUUAAGAGUUUAAUGCAAAAAUGAAAGUAAACAUGCAGAUGCAAGAGUUGAAUCAAUUGACAUAUAAAAAUAUGAAUGAAUGGAGUUUUU
rnacentral:lncRNA from 1 species